rnacentral:rRNA from 1 species
UUGGAGGGCAAGUCUGGUGCCAGCAGCCGCGGUAAUUCCAGCUCCAAUAGCGUAUAUUAAAGUUGUUGCAGUUAAAAAGCUCGUAGUUGAAUUUCGGGAUCAAUAUGCCGGUCAUGCCUUGGUAUGCACUGGUAUCUUUGAUUUCUCCCUUCUGACGAACUUUGAUGUCAUUAAUUUGGUGUCAUAGGGAAUCAGGACUGUUACUUUGAAAAAAUUAGAGUGUUUAAAGCAAGCUCACGCUUGAAUACAUUAGCAUGGAAUAAUGAAAUAGGACGUUUGAUUCUAUUUUGUUGGUUUCUAGGAUCGACGUAAUGAUUAAUAGGGAUAGUUGGGGGCAUUAGUAUUCAAUUGUCAGAGGUGAAAUUCUUGGAUUUAUUGAAGACUAACUACUGCGAAAGCAUUUGCCAAGGAUGUUUUCAUUAAUCAAGAACGAAAGUUAGGGGAUCGAAGACGAUCAGAUACCGUCGUAGUCUUAACCAUAAACUAUGCCGACUAGGGAUCGGAUGAUGUUAAUUUUUUAAUGACUCGUUUGGCACCUUACGGGAAACCAAAGUGUUUGGGUUC